rnacentral:rRNA from 1 species
UACGUAGGGGGCAAGCGUUGUCCGGAAUCAUUGGGCGUAAAGCGCGUGUAGGCGGCCCGAUAAGUCCGCUGUGAAAAGUCCAGGGCUCAACCCUGGGAUGCCGGUGGAUACUGUCGGGCUCGAGUCCGGAAGAGGAGUGUGGAAUUCCUGGUGUAGCGGUGAAAUGCGCAGAUAUCAGGAGGAACACCAAUGGCGAAGGCAGGUCUCUGGGCCGCAAACUGACGCUGAGGGAGCGAAAAGCAUGGGGGGAGC